rnacentral:rRNA from 1 species
AUUGAACGCUGGCGGCAUGCCUAACACAUGCAAGUCGAACGGAAACGGCAUUAACAAUCCCUUCGGGGUGCGUUUUUGGACGUCGAGUGGCGGACGGGUGAGUAAUACAUAGGAAUCUACCCAGUAGCGGGGGACAACUUGGGGAAACUCAAGCUAAUACCGCAUACGCCCUACGGGGGAAAGCGGGGGACCUUCGGGCCUCGCACUAUUGGAUGAGCCUAUGUCUGAUUAGCUUGUUGGUGGGGUAACGGCCUACCAAGGCAACGAUCAGUAGCUGGUCUGAGAGGACGAUCAGCCACACUGGGACUGAGACACGGCCCAGACUCCUACGGGAGGCAGCAGUGGGGAAUAUUGCACAAUGGGCGAAAGCCUGAUGCAGCAAUGCCGCGUGUGUGAAGAAGGCCUGCGGGUUGUAAAGCACUUUCAGUAGGGAGGAAACAGUAACGGGUUAAUACCCCGAUACCUUGACGUUACCUACAGAAGAAGCACCGGCUAACUCUGUG